GACCUCCCACGAUCAUGUCUGGAGAGUGGUUGGUAUUCUGCCAGCUUUGGAGAUGAGAGGGAAAACAAACUUGACAGAGGUACCCAUUCCAUUCCCAGCUUGCUCGGUAGCUGGUGUUUGGAAGACUCUCUGCAACAGUG
ensembl:snoRNA